GGCGUAGCAAGGUUAGGAGGUUGGUAGGAGAGGAGAUGGUUAGGAAUUGUUGGAGUUGGUACUGGUUGCCCCAAAGGCCCGUGAACAGGAUUCUGGAAGCUGUAAGAAUUGAUGGAGAACACUUGAGGGACACCUGCUAUGUUCUUUGCUGACUGUAUUCCAGCAUUAAGAAAGACUGGGUAAGACCUUAUAACUGAGCCAUUUAUUUGCAUAGAAAUUUCCGGUUCUCUCUGUGAGUGGACAGGGGAGCGGGUGGAAUAAGAGAAGAAUGGAAAGCGUCCUCCUAGUUUUCUAUCAGUUGCUAGAAACUACGGGAGGGCUACUUAAUUACUUCUGGAUUUUGCAGAAAAUUCUAAAGGUAGCUGAAUUUUAGAAGCAACUGCAAAUACUGAAUAUCCUUUCCGCAUUUAGAACUCGUGUGAAAAACUCAUACAUUUAAGUUUCAAAAGGUUUUGACGUUCCAACUGACAGCUUUUAGCUAAACCUAUACAACAAAUGGCAAAUAGGAUCUUAAAGCCUUUUAAAACCAACAAAGCAAACAAAUAUCUAACUUCUCAAUUAGAUAUACAAAUGUGUCCUCUAUUAUAAUUCUCAUGUUCUGAGGGGCAGGCAUUGUACUAAAUUCUUCACCUACAUUAUAUCAGUUAAUCUAAAUCCACAAAAGUAGGCAGUUCUCCAUGUUACAGAUGAAAAAAAAAAGUUUCAAGUGGUUAAGUAAUUUGCCUUUGUUCAUUGAGCUAGUUAGUGGUAGAGCUGAAAUUCCAACUUUGGUCUCUUGAUUCCAAAGGCACUGCUAAGCAUUUGACUUGUCAGACACACCUGCCACCUGAGAGUUUCUGACUCAUGACUGUGGACAAGAAGGCCUCAGUCUGAGUACACCUAGCCUAGAAUUCUAACAGAGGCAUUGAGGGAAUGUUAUCUUCCCCAGUGUCAUCUGCCCUGGCCAAAGUCUAGAGCUGCAUUUCUGCAUCCAUACUCCAGUCUUUAACAUCUCCAUUUUCCAACCUGGCCUCUUUUAAUACAAACUGCUUUCUCAAAGGGAAAUAGACCUUUUGUUUCUUCUUCCUAAGGGUAAUCUACAAAAUCAAAAUAAUUGUGUAUUUCCUGAUCAUUAAAUUUAUGCAUAUUCCAGUGUUAAAUUUCAGAAAAUAGAAGAAUAUAGAAGAGAAAAGUAACCCUUGCUCUACAAUCAAGUAUAACCACUACUUACUUUUUUGAUUCACAAUGUAUCUUCCUUGGAUAUACUGCAUACGUAGAUUGUCUCCAUGCUUUCAGUCACAGUCAUUGCCACCUUUAAUAGUCUUCCUCAUUCUUUCCCGGGGGCAAACCUUUUUCAACCUAAUUUAUGAAAACUUUCUUGAUUUUGUUCCCUGUAUCCUUAUGGCAUUCAUGUUGUAUUUUAAUUACUUAUUUGUCUGUCUUUCCUAGGAGCAAGCUAAAGUUGUAGAACUAUCAGAAUAAAGUAAGAGAUGGAAGAGACCAGAAUGUCAGAUGGACAAGUAGUUUUGCACACCAGUUUGUGAACUGGGGUUCAUCUAUGGUGAAGUUGCUACAGAUCAGCAGAGAAAUAAGAAAAAAAUAUAGUGAGUUUUUCAUUUAGUUAAACUUACUCUUAAGGAUUGUGCAUUAUAUUGAAAUUGUUCAUUCUAUUUCUUUUAUCCAAUGACAGUUAUAGAGUAGUUAUUUUCUAAAUAAUUUUCUUUGAAGAAAUAUUUGUUGCUAACUUUAUUUGCUCCCAUUUGGUUUAUUUUAUUUCUGAAAUUUUUCUUGGUCCACGAGAUCCUAAAGUCUAGCAAUGACUGAGAUAGAGAAUGGCCACCAAUUUCAGCAAUCAUAAUGCUGGUGUGAUUCUAGUCUACUUACUUUAUCUGCUAUAUGUAUUCUCUGUAUUCUUUCUGGAUAUGACUUAGUCUAAGCCUGAGGGUGGAUCUGAGCUUGAUGGUGUUUGGAAGAUAAGAAGUGGUUGUAACUGGCAGAUGGUACUAGGCCCCAAAGUAAGACAUUAUUCAUUCUUGAUGCAGUUUAUAUAGAUGAAAUGAAGUUUCUGUUUGUUACUGUAUUACAUGAAAAUAGGUAGAUGGAAUUUUGCCACCCAUGGAGAAUAUGUUUGUGUUAGUCUGACUUAAAAUAAUAAGUUAAUAAAAUUCACUUUGAGGGAACGUGGGAGGUGGGCACUGCUGUCAACCUUUUGGUAUGUGUCUUCACAUCUCUCUAUACAAAUAUGCCCUUGGUGGUUUUAAAAUAUGGCUAUGACUUCUUUGAUGUCCUUCCCAUGAAAAGAUAUACUUUGUGUCUUCUCCUCUUAAAUCUGGAUGGGCUUAUGAUUGAUUUAUACAAGAGAAUAUAGAGAAAGUGAUCAUAGUCACCAUAUGUGACUUCAGAGGCUAGGUCAUAAAAGGCCGUGCAGUCUGUUGAAACCCUUGCUUUUGUAGCUCUCAGCCAUCAUGUAAGAAGUCUGACUACCUGAGUCCCAUGUGCUGUGAAAAGCCCAGGGCAAUAGGGAGACCCCUUGAAUGUACUCUGAUUGACAGUCACAGCUGAGCCCAGCCCUCCAGUUAGCCUAGGUGCCAGAUAUGAGAAUGGAGAAGCAGAUUCCAGCUCUCAGCCAUUUAGUUACCCUUCAGCCUUUUCAGCCUUCCCAGCUGAGGACCUAGACUUGUGGACCAAAGCGAGCCUUUCCUGCCCUGUCUUGUCCUAAUUCCUGACCUGAAGAAUCCACGAUUUUAAGAGAAUGGAAAACAAGACACAGACUGGGAGAAAUAUUUGCAAAAAAAAAUACAUCUGAUAAAGGACUGUUAUCCAAAAUGUUUAAAGAACUGUUAAAACUCAACAAUAAGAAAACAAAAGCUUGUUUAAAAAAUGGGCCAACACCUUUACAGACCUCACUAAAGAAGAUAUACAGAUGUAAAAUAAGUAUAUGCCAAGAUGCGCCAGCCACAUCAUAUGCCAUCAGGGAAAUGCAAAGUGAAAAAAAAAAUGACUUACCACUACACAUCUCUUAGAAUGGCCUAAAUCUAGAAAUUGACAACACCAAAUGCUAGUGAAGAUGUGAAGCAAAAGGAAUUCUCAUACAUUGCUAGUGGGAACACAAAAUGGUACAGCCACUUUGGAAGAUAGUUUGGAAGUUUCUUAUAAAAUGAAGUAUACUCUUACCAUGUGAUCCAGCAACUGAACUUUUUACUAUUUACCCAAAGGAGGUGAAACCUUAUGUCCACACAGAAACCUGCACAUUGAUGUUUAUAGCACCUUUAUGCAUAAUUGCCAAAACUUAGAAGCAACCAAGAUGUUUUUCAUUAAAUAAAUGGAUUAAUACACGAUGGUACAUUCAGACUACAGAAUAUUAUUUAGCACUAAAACGAAUUGAGUUACCAUGCUAUGAAAAGACACGGAGGAACCUUAAAUGAAUACUACUAAGCUGAAAAGGCUACACACUGUGAUUCCAAAUAUGUGACAUUCUGGAAAAAACAAACUAUGGAGACAGUAAAAAAAAAAGUCAAUGGCUCCCAGACAGGGACAAGGGAGAGAUGAAUAAACAGAGUAUAGAGGAUUUUUAGAGCAAUGAAAAUACUCUAUAAUGUUAAUGAAUGUAUGUCAUUAUGCUUUUGUCCAAAUCCAUAGAAUGUGUAACACCAAGAACGAACCCUAAGGUAAGCUGUGGAUUUUGGGUGAUUUUGAUGUGUCAGUGUAGAUUCAUCCUUGAUAAAAAAUGUACAAUGCUGGUGGACAAUACUGGUAAUGGGGAGGCUAUGCAUGUGUGGAGGGGCUAGGGGUUAUAUAGGAAUUAUCUGUAUCUUUCAAUUUUGUUUUAAAUCUAAAAAUGCUCUGAAAAAACAAUAAAGUUAAAGUCUUAAAAUGAAUUCAUAAGCAUAAUAAAAAUGAUUAUUUUACUUCUCUGUUUAGGGUUGUUAUGCAUCUUUUCCAGUGAGUAGAUAACU
rnacentral:lncRNA from 1 species